rnacentral:rRNA from 1 species
UACGGAGGGUGCGAGCGUUGUCCGGAAUCACUGGGCGUAAAGGGCGCGUAGGCGGCGCGGGGAGUCAACGGUGAAAGCUCGGGCGCUCAACGCCGAGUCGGCCGUCGAUACUCCCGUGCUUGAGCACUGUAGAGGCAGGUGGAAUUCCGGGUGUAGCGGUGGAAUGCGUAGAGAUCCGGAAGAACACCGGUGGCGAAGGCGGCCUGCUGGCAGUAGCUGACGCUGAGGCGCGACAGCGGUGGGGAGCAAACAGG